GAUGAACGCUGGCGGCGUGCCUAAUACAUGCAAGUCGAGCGAACAGACGAGGAGCUUGCUCCUCUGACGUUAGCGGAGGACGGGUGAGUAACACGUGGAUCACCCCCCUAUAAGACUGGGAUAACUUCGGGAAACCGGCGCUAAUACCGGAUAAUAUCUUGAACCGCAUGGUUCAUUAGUGAAUGACGGUUUUGCUGUCACUUAUAGCUGGAUCCGCGCCUCAUUAGCUAGUUGGUAAGGUAACGGCUUACCACGGCAACGAGGCGUAUCCGACCUGAGAGAGUGGUCGGCCACACGGGAGCUGAGACGCGGUCCAGACUCCUGCGAUAGGCAGCAGUAUGGAAUCGUCCGCAGUGGGCGAAAGCAUUGCGGAGUGGCGCGGCGUGAGUGAUGAAGGUCUUCCGAGCGUAAAACUCGGUUAUUAGGUAAGAACAAAUGUGUAAGGAACUAUGCACGGCUUGACGGUACCGAGUCAGAAAGCCACGGCUAACUACGUG
rnacentral:rRNA from 1 species